rnacentral:rRNA from 1 species
AUUGAACGCUGGCGGCAUGCUUUACACAUGCAAGUCGAACGGUAACAGGCCGCAAGGUGCUGACGAGUGGCGAACGGGUGAGUAAUGCAUCGGAACGUGCCCAGUCGUGGGGGAUAACUACUCGAAAGAGUAGCUAAUACCGCAUACAAUCUAUGGAUGAAAGCGGGGGACCGUAAGGCCUCGCGCGAUUGGAGCGACCGAUGUCAGAUUAGGUAGUUGGUGGGGUAAAGGCUCACCAAACCAACGAUCUGUAGCUGGUCUGAGAGGACGACCAGCCACACUGGGACUGAGACACGGCCCAGACUCCUACGGGAGGCAGCAGUGGGGAAUUUUGGACAAUGGGCGCAAGCCUGAUCCAGCAAUGCCGCGUGCAGGAAGAAGGCCUUCGGGUUGUAAACUGCUUUUGUACGGAACGAAACGGCUCUGGUUAAUACCCGGGGCUAAUGACGGUACCGUAAGAAUAAGCACCGGCUAACUACGUG